GACGAACGCUGGCGGCGUGCUUAACACAUGCAAGUCGAACGGAAAGGCCCUGCUUUUGUUGGUUUCUCGAUUGGCGAACGGGUGAGUAACACGUGAGUAACCUGCCCUUGACUUUGGGAUAACUUCAGGAAACUGGGGCUAAUACCGGAUAGGAUCUCCUGCUGCAUGGUGGUGGUUGGAAAGUUUCGGCGGUUGGGGCUGGACUCGCGGCUUAUCCGCUUGUUGGUGUGGUAGUUGCUUACCAAGGCUUUGACGGGUAGCCUGCCUGAGAGGGUGACCGGCGACAUGGGGACUGAGAGACGGCCCAGACUCCUACGGGAGGCAGCAGUGGGGAAUAUUGCACAAUGGGCGGAAGCCUGAUGCAGCAACGCCGCGUGCGGGAUGACGGCCUUCGGGUUGUAAACCGAUUUCGCAUGUGACGAAGCGUGAGUGACGGUAAUGGGUAAAGAAGCAACGGCUAACUACGUG
rnacentral:rRNA from 1 species